rnacentral:misc_RNA from 1 species
GAUGAAGAACGUAGCGAAAUGCGAUACGUAAUGUGAAUUGCAGAAUUCAGUGAAUCAUCGAAUCUUUGAACGCAUAUUGCGCUCUUUGGUAUUCCGAAGAGCAUGCUUGUUUGAGUAUCAGUAAACACCUCAAAGCUUUUGGAUUUUUUAAUCGAAAAGCUUUGGACUUGAGCAAUCCCAACACCAAUCUUUUUGAGAUCGGUGGCGGGUUGCUUGAAAUGCAGGUGCAGCUGGACAUUCUCCUGAGCUAAAAGCAUAUUCAUUUAGUCCCGUCAAACGGAUUAUUACUUUUGCUGCAGCUAUCAUAAAGGGAGUUUGACCGUAUUGGCUGACUGAUGCAGGAUUUCACAAGGGUCGGCAACGAUUCUUGUUAAACUCGAUCUCAAAUCAAGUAAGACUACCCGCUGAACUUAAGCAUAUCAAUAAGCGGAGGA